rnacentral:rRNA from 1 species
ACACGCAUGACACACUGCAUAUCAAUAAGCGGAGGAAAAGAAACUAACAAGGAUUCCCUUAGUAACGGCGAGUGAAGCGGGAAGAGCUCAAAUUUGAAAUCUUCAAGGUUUUACCUUGACGAAUUGUAGUUUAAAGAAGUGUUUUCUGUUGAAGUUUUGGUAAAAGUUCUUUGGAAUAGGACAUCAUAGAGGGUGAGAAUCCCGUAUUUGACCAUUAUUUUCAGCUGUGUGAUACACUUUCAAAGAGUCGGAUUGUUUGGGAAUGCAGUCCAAAAUGGGUGGUAAAUUUCAUCUAAAGCUAAAUAUUGGCGAGAGACCGAUAGCGAACAAGUACCGUGAGGGAAAGAUGAAAAGAACUUUGAAAAGAGAGUUAAACAGUACGUGAAAUUGUCAAAAGGGAAGCGUUUGACACCAGUGUUGUUUUCUCGAAGAUCAAUUAAAAAAGGCCGGAUUUUGUGUUGUAUUGACCUUAAAAGCUUUCUUCACUCUCUUCUUGUCUUUUUUAAUGCACUUUUCGUUUAACAAGUCAACAUCAGUUUCUUUUGUUGUAAAAGGGUCAUUGGAAGGUGGCUUUCUUUUCGGAGAAAGUGUUUAUAGCCUUUGAUCUCUGCAACCGGAGAGACUGAGGUCUGCAGCGUAGACUCUUCGGGGUUAGAUACAUUUGUGCUAAGCUAUAGCUUUUUAUAGACAACUUGUUGACUAUAUUUAGUCUUGUAGCUUACUCGCUUAUGCUAUUUUACCUACGCUUAGGAUGUUGAGCGCAUGUCUCUCUC